GUGUCACGAAUAUGUGCCAUGUUCAUUGCCAUGGCAACAAGCUGGCGAGAGGUAUUCCGAGGUGAAAUCUGCUCGAGGGAGAAUAAAGAACCUCUAAGGUUUUAAUCCACAACCUUAAGACAGGCCGCGACAGCAGACCCCCAGGCACCGGCUGGACCAUUUUCAGGCAGGCAGGCAGAGCGACUCAAGGCAGAGCGACUGGCAGAAGAGAGGCAAGCAAGUGAGCGAGUGAAUCAGCAGCGAAUGAGUAGAGGAGCUGUGCGGAGCUGAGCACCGGAAUGAGAGAGAGGGAGGAAGAGAGCGAGCGAGAGAGAGGAGGAGUGUUUGUCUGUGUGAUUGUGCAUGUGUAUGCGUGUGUGUGUGUGUUGCAGCGUUGGCUGUGUGCGCUAGUGUCUCCCCUCCCCUGCCUCUUGAAGUGGCUGAGACUGGGCUGUGUCUCUACUGACUCCCUAGCCUCUGGAUCUUCAGUCUGCUGCCCGAGGAAAGUGGCGCUCGCUGGGUGGCAGUAGCAACAGCUGUGGAAGAGGAGGAGGAGGAGAAGGAAGAAGAAGAAGAAGAGGAGGAGGAGGAGGAGGGAGCCCCGACUGCACUGGUCAUACAGAUUCUGCAGUGCCUUCUCCCUCUCUCUGUUUUCACUGCUAAAAGCUGGCCACGCCCCCCUAAAACAACACCAGGAAGUGCUGGUUCAGUUACAGCAACACUGCCCUUGCCUUACAUAUGAAGCUGAGGGAGGAGAGAAGGGGAGAGGGAGGGAGGGAGGGAAGGAGCAAGAGAGGAAACAUUGAGAAAACACAGUAAAGAGAUAAAGAAGGAGAAAAGCAUGAAAGCAAGUUACAAAGAAGAAAGCACAAGUCAUGCUCAGUGUGGUGGAAAAUAUGAUGAUAGGAAAUAAUUUACAGGGAGUUGGCAAAGCAUUAGUUGGGCUUAUGUCUGGAUCCCCUCUCUCAUGCUAUCUUUUCUACUGCAAUUAUGCUAUGGCAAGCAACCUAAUGAUAACUCUCCUCAAACUCAAAGUAGCACACUAUACUGUAAAAGCAGAGCAUGCUAAACUGCACUAAAUCAAGCUGGGCUAUGCUAGUAAGAAUCUAUAAAUCCAGACUAACACAGAGUGUAUAAAUACUCUAGAAAUGACCUCUGCAGGCUGGUUGCAGGCCAGCAACCCAUAAUAAAAAAGGCCAACCCAGACAACAAUAAGAUAACUGCUGCUGCCAACUCUCUUGUAUUGUUGUUGACUCAAGGCUUCUGCCGCCACAACCCCGUACAUCCAGGGAAAAGCCAGAGAGGCAGAAGGAGCCUCCAAGAAUUUGAUUUGGACCUGAUGCCGCAAUAUCCGGUAGCCAUGGAGAUAGUGGCCUUGGCAUCUGCAGGAAUCUUUAUAGAUUUUGUGCUGUGUGCUGGCGUCAAGUUUUCUGUCUGAUCCUAUAUAUUGUCUAUAACUCACUUCGGGGGAUUGGGAUUGAGGAUGAAGUGCAUUCGAAAUGCUGCCUGUUUGGAAUGUUGAAAUAAUCUUGCAACGUGUUUUUAUCUCAAAGAAAGCUAAUUCCACACAAUCCAGUUCCACCGAGACCACACCGGCGUUACUAUUGUUACAGACAUAGGAACACUUUCUAUCCUCAGUAUAUUUGCAUAUACACAUGUAACAGUGCACAGAAAUAUCCAAAUGCCUCCCCUAUGUAAAACUAGUCACAGCUGUCUUUCUGUUCUAACCUCUUCCAUCUUUCUUUGGACCAGUUUCUACUGCUGCAACACUGUUCAAUACAAAGCCUGUGAUAAGUCAUCUCUAAUUUACACAGCACACCCUUAAACCCUGGGUGACAAUCUGUGUUAGAGCCCCAGCUGCAGUGCUAACCUUUUACCUAGCCUCUAUUCUGGUGCAAUAAGCCUGUGUAUCCAGACAGAACAAAACAUGUAUGAUUCAGCCAAAAGGUUGAUGUCAUGGUGCUAUUUUUUUCUGAAUUGAUCAAGUUUUUAUAAUCAGUGCCAUUAUUAGCUCCAAUAGCAAUAUCCACGCCUUGAUCAACUUCCAAACAUCAUUGGGUAAUAAUGAAAGGAAAUCUUUUUUUAACCAUUGAACAGCCCCUCUGCUGUAGGAAAACAUGCAGUAUGCCUUUUAGAUUAGCAGAACAAUUUGUUUGACUGCUGAUCAAUGGAAGGAGCGGGUCACUAUAAACUCCAAAUGGAAUUUUCCUUGACCCAUAACGAAAAAACACUGUGAUUGAUGUUUCACUGGCUCGAUUGUAGACACAUUAGCAACGCCUCCAAAGAUCUGGGUUUUCUGCGAAACUCAGACACUGACGUGGAAUUUCCCCUCUUCUGCUGCAGCUGAGCUCAUGCCAGUGCUUCGGCUUCUUUCUUUCUCAGUUUCUGUCUUAUACUUCACUGCUACUCCAUAUUCCUUAUUCAUGAUCAUUAUUUUGUAUGUGUUUAUAUAAAGCUUUUCAUCAUCUUCUUGCAAUUUCUGAAUACAUCUUAAUCCCCCUAAAUAUUCCCCCUCAACAGACCCUUAUUCCCCUUCUCUAAUUUGGGCUAAAAAUAUAUAGCCAAGCUUUGCAGUUACCACAUGGUUUGCUCAUUUGGUGAAACGAGUAAAGCGGUAAAAGUUUAAUUCUGACAAAAGAAAUAAUAGGAGCCUAUUUCCCAUUCUCUAGUUUGUUGUUCUUCAUAUGAGGUGGAAUCAACCAUAUAUUUUCACUUCCUACUUCUCAUGUCAUGUGUCUCACAGAUAAGAGGAUGGUGUGACCGUUACUCUCUGAGAUCAUAGAGGGCUUAGAGCGGUUAGAGUAUGAGCAAAGAGCAACAGGAAUCAACAUACUGGUGGUUGAGCAAACUGUGCAGACACACUUACCAACCGAAAACAGGAAGAGGUGUGUGCAGUGUAGUUAAAAGGGGAAUACCACCUAUUUUACACAUCAAGAUGAGUGAACUGCUCAUGGGGACUACUUAGAUGCUGAAAAAAAGAAGUAUAAAGUCUAGUCUGAGAAAGUACGGUUUGUAUUAUUGGAAUUGUAGUAUUCUCUGGUAUAUCAAUUUUGGUUAUACUUUUACUACCUAUCUUUACAAGACUUUAAAAAAUAAUGAAGGGGGGGGGGUCCUAAUUUGAAAAGAGUGGAGCAAGAGUAGUUUAAAAAAAUAUGUAUAUAUUCCAGAAAGACCCACACACAUUAAUCCUCUUCAAUCACUUUUCUGAAGUCAGCACAGGCUGGCAUUGGUGACCCCUCUUCCUCAGUCCAAACCAUAGAUCCAAACCCUUCAACCUCUGUCCACUCUUAUUUUCUCUCCUUCCUCCCCUGAUGAACGCACCUUUCCAUCUUAGGUUUCCCUAUCAUCUCAGCGCUAUGCUAUUUCCCAGCCCUCUGUAAAUGACACUGGCUGGCUGAUGUGAACUCUCACUCCACUGAGGAAAUGUCCCAGAGCUUUGUGUGCCAAGCUCUGACGGCUCAUCUAUCACUAAGGCCGCAAAUACACAUUACACUCCCAUUACAGACCAUCAGAGCAACAACUGCAACAGUACACAGCCUUGCAGAAGGGCCCACAGCAGAGAGCUGCAUACAAUCAUGUUAUAAACAUGCUUCAUAUAACUUAUAAAUUCACAUGUUAGCGGGAAAGUUGUGAAUGUGUCAUACGAACAAAUAUCGUACUUUUAUACUUUAAAUGAAAAGGCCUGUUUCCCUGCUGCAUACUUUGUGGUUUCCCCUUAACUUCUUUCCACUUAGACACAGUGAGGGGAAGCAGGUGCAAUCCAAGCUGUCAAGUUUGAAAUACAGAGAGAGGAAAUAGCACACUGUCUUGUCCCCAUCUGACAUUAUUGUAAGAUGGGGUGUUUGCGCUUGUGCAUGCGCCAUCCAAGCUUGAAGCUUAUCUUGGAGAUAAAAUGCAAAAUGAAAUGGAAACACCCUUCGCAAAGAGGCCUUUCACUUUAGCUUUCAGCAAUAUUAUAGUCUAACUGCAGAUAUACUGCCUCAAAUAUUAAAUACACCUCAUUACAUCCCAAACUUCUCACAAAAUGUCACAGUAAAGAGAAGCAUCAAACAAAGUGGUUUCGUGAAUUUAACUAUGAAUACGGACCGUCAUACAGCUGGGAAACUAUUUUUUCCAAAAAUAUCACAGAAACUUUUGUUUGUUGAAAUCUUAAUUAAUUACUAAAUUGUAAUAUAUUACAAAAAAAACAGAGAAAAUCCAGAUGAAAUGUCAAUAAAAGUUAUUCCUACAGUGAGUAACCUAAAAGCCAGUAAAGCUUACCUGUUUGUCUGACUAAUGCUGACGUGCCACUGAAACAAACGAAGCCGCUUCAACACAGGUCACACUGACGCAGUGCAUUGUGGGAUGAACCCACUCAUGUUAAUUUCUCUCUUCCUCUACUUCACUCACUCCCAUCUCUCUCACUCUCAUAAUAGCACCUUCUGCUUGGCAACGUCCAUACCACAAAUGUGGUCAGGUUUGUAUUGAACCAUCACUGCGCAACAUCAAGUCUCCAUGACAACCACUCCUUAUCUCAUUUGCAUCUCCUGCUUGCAUUAUGUGCUGAUGCCAAAUAUGGUCACCUUGUACCUUUCCCCGCCUCUUUCUGCAUCCCCUUUUUAUAACUUCCUCUUCCCCUCCAUUUUCACAACUGUGUGUUUGCACUUUAUGUCUGAUGUGCAUGCAAACAAACAACGGCAUUUACUCAUGAGCACAGUUUCUGAGUGUGAGAAAAGAGGAAGUGAUUGUGACAUUAGACCAGUUUGCAGCUCGCUUUUUAAAAUUAGGAAGUGUGGUGCUGUUCAAGAAAGUGCGGUGUGUUAUCACAAUCCUCCGAGGGCUGGUAGUACAUCUUCACAUGAUUUCACUUACCCAUCAUUGCUCCUUCUAUGAAGUUGGUGCAGGCAUUUAGCUUCAUCCUCUUCCUCCGGCAGGGAGUAUGUCUAUCAAGCUAUUGCUGGAAUGUUGAACCAGGCCCCUGGAGCCCACACAAAGCGAAACUCAGCAGCACUCAGCACCUGUCUUCCUCUGCCAGUACAGAGAAAGAGAAACGGUCAAUCAGCCUGGACAGCACAGCAAAGGAGAACGAGCAGAGGGGAGUGGGAGACAGACAAGCAUUUCAUCAGCAGAAAAACAAAGUGAGCAAGUUGUAUGUUAUGUGCAAAAUAUCACAUGAAGAUUACAGCACUUAACUUUUGAAAUAAAUCAAUUAUGGUGUCUUGUCUUAUUUACAAUACUGAUGAAAACUGACUAAACAAGUUGCAGCCUCCGUCUCAAAUAUGAAUUUUCUUCAUGUGACAAACUGAACAUGAAUGGCAACACUAGACAUAAGGUUUUAAGGGUGAUCUAUUGCUUUAAUUUCAGAGACCUUGUUUUUUUAUUUAUGCAUUUAAAAUGUCAUAAAAACAACAAAUGUAGUGCAUCUGCUCUUUUAUCUUGACAACCCUCAUUUGUUAUAAUCAACAGGUAUCUUUCCAAGGGGGAAUAAUCAUUUGAUGUUUCACUUGUUUAGAGUUAAGAGGACCUCUUUGUCUUUGACCUUACAGUGACACUUUUUGUACCAGCCAGGGGGUUCCUUAUCUAUUUUUUUUUUCAGGGGCCCAAGAGAAUUACAAUGCAAAGAAGCUUUCCCGGGCAGCAUCUGGAGAAGCUCUGAGGAAGCAUCAGAGGCCCUGAGCAGCAGCUAGCCUACCCUCCUCUGGGCUGCAGGGCUGCUGGGACUUGGGGGAAUGGAAGUCAAUGAAACCAGGCUUAAUUUAGCCUCUGCUGCUCUUCAAGCUGCCAGGAAUCGGAGUGAGACUCUUCCCUUUUUAGGGCUCUCUGGACUCUGGAGUCUGCAAGUGGCACUACCGAUGCUGGAGAAAGAGGCUACAGCCAAAACGUGUUACAUGGAAAUUACAUUAUCAUUUUUAUCAAGGUCUAACAGUCGUAACCCGACACGUUGGGAACUAUGUACACAUUUAACAAAGCCUUCGGUUAUUCAAAUGACUCAGCUGUAAGAUUAUUAAACUGCCAGUUUGGACACUUUUACAACCAUCCUAUCUUUACUCCACUUUCAGCUGAUACAAGGACAGCUUGGUCCUGUAAAAUACUGAGACACAUUGCCCACUAUCACAA